UACAGAGGUCUCAAGCGUUGUUCGGAUUCAUUGGGCGUAAAGGGUGCGUAGGCGGCGCGGUAAGUCGGAUGUGAAAUCUCGGGGCUUAACUCCGAAACUGCAUUCGAUACUGCCGUGCUUGAGGACUGGAGAGGAGACUGGAAUUUACGGUGUAGCGGUGAAAUGCGUAGAUAUCGUAAGGAAGACCAGUGGCGAAGGCGGGUCUCUGGACAGUUCCUGACGCUGAGACGCGAAAGCGUGGGGAGCAAACAGG
rnacentral:rRNA from 1 species